AAUCGUUGGAUCGCGGGGGAUACUGCUUGGCUAGGGGACGAGAGAGGCAGACGGUAUUUUUGGGGUAGGGGUGAAAUCCUAUAAUCCCAGGAAGACCACCAGUGGCGAAGGCUGUCUGCUAGAACGCGCCCGACGGUGAGGGAUGAAAGCUGGGGGAGCGAACCGGAUUAGAUACCCGGGUAGUCCCAGCUGUAAACGAUGCAGACUAGGUGUUUGGACGGCCACGUGCCGUUCUAGUGCCGCAGGGAAGCUGUUAAGUCUGCCGCCUGGGGAGUACGAUCGCAAGAUUGAAACUUAAAGGAAUUGGCGGGGGAGCACCACAAGGGGUGAAGCUUGCGGUUUAAUUGGAGUCAACGCCGGAAAUCUCACCGGGAGCGACAGCAGUGUGAAGGCCAGAUUAAAGGUCUUGCCAGACGAGCUGAGAGGAGGUGCAUGGCCGUCGCCAGUUCGUGCCGUGAGGUGUCCUGUUAAGUCAGGCAACGAUCGAGACCCGCGUCCUCUGUUGCAACCAGCUUUGAGCUGGGCACACUGAGGAGACCGCCACUGAUAAAGUGGAGGAAGGAGCGGGCCACGGCAGGUCAGUAUGCCCCGAAUCUCCCGGGCCACACGCGAGCUGCAAUGGCAGGUACAAUGGGUUCCGACCUCGAAAGGGGGAGGCAAUCUCGAAAGCCUGCCGUAGUUGGGAUCGAAGGCUGCAACCCGCCUUCGUGAACAUGGAUCCCUAGUAA
rnacentral:rRNA from 1 species